rnacentral:rRNA from 1 species
CAAAGGUUCUCUCAGUACGGUCGGAAAUCGUACGUAGAGUGUAAAGGCAAAAGAGAGCUUGAUUGCAAGACAUACAGGUCGAGCAAGGAUGAAAAUCGGACUUAGUGAUCCGGUGGUUCUGCGUGGAAGGGCCAUCGCUCAACGGAUAAAAGCUACCCUGGGGAUAACAGGCUUAUCUCCCCCAAGAGUCCACAUCGACGGGGCGGUUUGGCACCUCGAUGUCGGCUCAUCACAUCCUGGGGCUGUAGUAGGUCCCCAGGGUUGGGCUGUUCGCCCAUUAAAGGGGUACGCGAGCUGGGUUCAGAACGUCGUGAGACAGUUCGGUCCCUAUCCGUCGCAGGCGUAGGAAAUUUGAGAAGACCUGUCC